GGCAGGUGGAAAAAACCUCAGGUAAAUGCAGUAAUAAUUGCAUUCUAACAUCCAAAGUAUACAUUCAUGACAUCAACUAACAAGAUUUUAAGUUAAUAGUGUAGUUUACAUUUUCUUAACCGCUAACUCCAAAAAUCACCAAAUAGCCCUCCAAUCUGUAGGUUAUUUCUCCUUUUUGUAACCUUUCUUUUUGUUUAACAUCCCUCUAAAUCAAGAAGGAUACUUCUCCAGAUGUAGUAGAUUUAUCUCUAAGGCCUUGAGCUGGCAUCUGAGUUUGUGGGCUGAUCCCUGCACUCAAGUACAGCCUCAUUUAAGUCAAGAGAGUUCAACAGGAACACAUACCCAUCCCUAUAUAAAUUGCAUUCCUGGGUCAUAAAGUAAUGAGUGCACAUUUUUAAUAAGGAAAUAGUUUCAAUAUUUCAAAACAUGAGUUUGGAAGCAUCUUAAAAUAAAAUCUUCUGGGCAACUUAGAAUUAGCUAUAAAAGAUUGUUAAAACUUUAAAUUCUCUUUUAAACAAAAUAGGUCAUCCUUUAUUUUAAACAGUUAAAGAAUGGGGUGUUAAAUGCAUCUGGCUUCAUGGUUUGGAUGAGUCAUGUGGGAUUGGUCCACAGGCUGGAACGGAUGCACAAACCAGGCCUGCAUGCCAGAUCCUGCUCAUGUUUUGGAGCAGCCAUUGUGGACACUACAUGUGACAGCUGUCUGUGCCACUGGAUCCUUCAUGGAGCUGAUGCAUGCAUGCUGUGGCACAGUCCUGGAGCAAGCUCUACGUGCAGCACAUAGGGCUGUGAGGCCUCCUUGCAUGCUGCCUGUGGGUCAACUCCAAGACUCGCAAGUAGCACUGGGGGCCAGCUAAUAGGACUCUGCCAGCCAGAUUCAACCCCAGAGCCAUAUCUUUUGACACCUCUGAUUUAAAGUAAAUUAUUAUUUCUAGUUUGAAGAACAAAAAUCUGACCAUGUGGCAGCAUUCCUCCUGUCUUUAAUACAUACUGUAUGAACUCUAGUAUUCUUAAACUAAAAAUAUCUAACAUUUUUGCAAAAUCCUUAAGACGUGCACAUUACUAACCAAGUUAACUACAAGAUCCUUAGGUCUGGUUGUGAAACCAGAGAUUCUAUUUUUUGAUUGGCUACAAUUUGCAAUAAGAACAGGAAGUUGAAAUGUUAUUCAAAAGGAAAACACACAUAAUACCCUAAAAAAAAGGCAAAACCUCAUAACAAGAAAACUAAAAUUGAAGUUUCAAAUUCAACUAUCAACCUGAAUGCUGACAGCUGAGGAAAAACUGACAUUUUCCCAUAUAGACAUAAAUUUUGACAAAACAAUUUCAAUGAAAAAGUCUCCUAUGUAAGAAGCUUUAACUAGCUACAAUGAUCUUGUUUCAAAACCUUUGACACCUUUUCUCAUAGAUCUCAACGUGUGCUUCCAUCUGACAUCAAGACGCAUUAUUUAGCCAAGUGUUCUUUGUGAAUGAUACACCCUUUAUCAUGGUCUCUAUGGGUUUCAGGUUCUAAUGGUUAAAAAAACCCCCAAAACUAGUCCAAAAUGGAUGUUUCAAAAGCACUUAAAUAAUUUAGGAGAACAAGCCUCACUGACUUUCACUGGGUCUUCUCUCUUUAGUAAUCUAGUUGUUUUUGAAAAUUCCACACAAAGUAUGUAACUACCUAUUAAAUGAAGCAUCACACAAACAUACAUACCAGUCCCAAUCUACAAGGCUCAUACGCAGAUAAGGAAGGUCUGUACCAAAAAUUACCUGUAAUAUACAUCCUACAAAGUAUAUGUGCUACACUGUAAACAAAAAUCUCUCAGGAAAAGAUAAUACAGAAAUGUUAUUGUAAACCAGGAAAAGAAUAAAAAGGGAUUCAACCAGGAAAAUUAUCGAAAAGGGAUUCACCAAUAAGAGACAUCAGAACUGAAGCAGAGGCUGCAGCACUGCUGCAAGAUGGACUAAAAAUGGUGCUCAGCUGGCUUUAACACUCAUCGCUCAGUAGCAAAGUGCUGGGUGAUAGGUGACUUGCAAAUUACUUUUAUAUUUGCAUGUGCAACCUACCUAAGCCUGGAGCUUUGCCUGUCUAAUACCUUUGUAUCUGUCACAACUAUGACUAUGGUGAUUUCACCUGUAACUGUAGGCUAGUGCUGUUACAACUGAUUUGGAUUAUCACGGAUAAAGUUGUCUGCUAUAUACUGCUUAACUUAAUGAUUGUAUGUCUUAAUAAUAUUUACAUUCUCUCUUCAUUAAUAUUGUAAGAUUAUAUAUCACUGCUGAAUUAUCUAAUAGCACCUACCAUUAAAAUAAUUCUUAUUUUGUUUUCCAGUUCACUAGAAGAUGAAAUGAAAGAAGGGACUUUUGUAAAAAUAGUUGAUGUGUUCUCAGAUACAGGAAUAUGAUCAUUUAAUUAUUCACAGAUUUCUUACAGAGUAUCAACUGUCAUGAUACAGUUGUGUCAUUUCUCACGGGUACACCAGAUACAUUUGUGUAUCAUGGAUCUAUUUCCAUAUAUUAAUGUUUCCUCAAACCCAUAUGAUGUAUCAUGGAUCUAUUUCCAUAUAUUAAGGUUUCCUCAAACCUGUAUGACUUUUUAUUUGUAUUUUAUUUUUGCUUGUUUCGUCUUGUCUUAUAUGCUUCUGUGACUCAGUUAAUUCUUGUUACUAAUCUUAAAUUUGUUUUUCCAAAGAAGUCAGUUCGAUUUAUAAAAGCUCAACUUUUUUUGGAACACCUGCUAUUUAUUGAGAUUCCUCAAGCAGACAGAAAUACACAUAAGUGUGCAGGAAAUAAUGAACCACUGUCACUGUCUAAGCACAGGUCUAUGCAGCAGAGGUUGGAGCAAUCAUAUUAGAGGAUACAGACCAGGCAGAACAGUCUGGAGAGCCAGACUGGAUUUACUGCUGACAGCAACCGUGCCUUAUGUGCUGGAUGGAGCACUUCAGCAAGUCUCCCUUGCUACCCUUGUUGACUAACACCUGAGCCAACCUAUUUACUGACUACCACCUAAGUCAGCAGCUCCCAAUCUGUGGUACGGGUACCAUGAGUGGUACGCAGACAACCUGUCAGUGAUCCGAGAUCCAGAGCGCGUGGCAAAGAGAAGCCCUGAGAGGGAUAACAUCAUUGAUAGAAGAGAGGACUUGACGUGUGACUUUGCCGUGACGCCUACUGAAGCCCUGAUCGUACAGUUCUUCGUUCUGAAUUUAAUUAUGUGUAUGUGUGUUUAUAUAGGUUGUUGUUUGAUUCGGUCUUUGGAGGACGAACUCCUUGUAUUGACAGAUUCUUAAGUAAUGAACAUGCGGUUUGAUACAGUUCUGCCUUCAACAAGCCCCGCUUGAUAUCAUAAUCCGAGGAUCUAAUUGUGUGUUUGUGUUGAUCAUUGUUUUGAUUGUUAUGUAACUCAAUUCCAGGACAGUGAAUUUUGUGUUUGUUUGUUUGUUUGCUCGUUGGACGACUCACAACAAGUUUUCUAAAUAGAGUAUAUAGCAUAAUUUAGCUAUGCUCUCAGCAAGGGGGGAUGUCACAACCCAAAGUUGUAGAUUUUUUGAUUGAGUGUGC